rnacentral:hammerhead_ribozyme from 1 species
AUCCAGCUGACAAGUACCAAAUAGGACGAAACGCGCAUCCUGGAU